rnacentral:lncRNA from 1 species
UCGGCGUCUAGGAUGAUCAUCACCAAAAUGGAACCAUACGUGGUUGUCACAGAGGUGAAGGUGAUUUAGUAGUACUAUAAGAAAUUUAACAAAACUCAAAAUGAGACCGGGUACCAAAACCAAACAAAGAAAAUAAAAAAAAGAGAGGAAAAUUAUUACCGUUCAUCCUCACUUUCUUCAACUUCAAAGCCCCAUCUUCUCGCUGGAAAUUUGUCAAAAACUGUUAGGGUUUGCAGAAGGUGGGUCGCGACUUAGCAGGUUAGGUUUUCCGAUCAUAGAAGGUUAGCUUUUCCGAUCUCCCCCGCCAUCUCUAUCAUCACGAUGUUGUUCUUAAUUUUAAGAAUUAAUGCUCAAAUUGGAAGAAGGUUCUUGUUAAUUAGCAAAUGUUUUGGCUGAUUUCAUGCCAAUCGGUGGUGUGGGGCAGUAGAUUAAAAAUGAUUCAUAGCAUUUGCUUUUCCUCUUUCUAGGUUAACGAUUUAUUUUGGGGAUGGAUAUUAGAACGGUGUGGGAAUAUUUAACACUGGCCG